UUAGGAAUCUUCCACAAUGGGCGCAAGCCUGAUGGAGCGACACCGCGUGAGGGAUGACGGCCCUAGGGUUGUAAACCUCUAAAAAAGGGACGAAUAAUGACGGUACCUUUUGAAAAGCACCGGCUAACUCCGUGCCAGCAGCCGCGGUAAUACGGAGGGUGCAAGCGUUAUCCGGAAUCACUGGGCGUAAAGGGCACGUAGGCGGUCUGUUAAGUCCGAUGUUAAAGCGUGGGGCUCAACCCCAUCACGGCGUUGGAUACUGGCAGGCUUGACGGAUGGAGAGGAAAGUGGAAUUACCAGUGUAGCGGUGGAAUGCGUAGAUACUGGUAGGAACACCCAUUGCGAAGGCAGCUUUCUGGACAACACGUGACGCUGAGGUGCGAAAGUGUGGGGAGCAAACCGGAUUAGAUACCCCCGUAGUCC
rnacentral:rRNA from 1 species